rnacentral:rRNA from 1 species
AUGUUAGCAAAACAAGUGUGGCGGUUGAUUGAAAAACCUGACUCCCUCUGUUCUAAGAUACUAAAAGCUAAGUACUAUCCAAACCAACAUGUUCUUCAAGCUGGACCAAAGAAGGGGUCUUCUUUUACCUGGCAGAGCAUAGUUGCAGGUAUUCAAACUUUUAAACGAGGCAACAUUUGGCGUGUUGGCAAUGGUACAUCAAUUAAUAUUUGGAGAGAUCCUUGGAUACCGACUAGUCCAUCCAGGAGGAUUAUUUCUGACAGAGGAGUGGUUCUUAUUGAUAAAGUUUCAGAUCUCAUUGAUCCUUUGACUGGACAAUGGGACGAAGUGUUGAUCAGGGAUAUUUUCUCAGUUGUGGACGCAAAUAGAGUCCUCGGGAUACCUGUGAGCCUGAAUGGUUUUAAUGAUUUCAUUGCUUGGCACUUUAACAAAUCGGGUACAUUUUCAGUCAAGUCUGCAUACCAUGUGGAAUGGAGGCACCAGUUCGGCAAUUCUGUUAACGAGAUGGCAUCAUCUUCAGCAGGCACAAAUCCUAUAUGGAGGAAAAUCUGGAAGCUAUCCAUACCUGGUAAGAUAAAAAUCUUUUGUUGGCGUGCUCUCCAUGCGACCAUUCAGGUGAAAGCAAUUCUGGUUAGGCGUCAUGUGGGCACUGAUCCUCUAUGCCCUAUUUGUCGUACUGGAACAGAGGAUGUAGCCCAUCUACUAUUUGAUUGUGCUCCUGCCAAACAGCUGUGGAAAGCUCUGAAUUUCGAAAACAGAAUCAGAGAUGCUUUUGCUGUUGAUACUUCGGGUUCUCAAAUUCUGGAACAGCUCCUUGAUGGUUCAGUCGGCCAAUAUCAAAAUCUGCAGAGUGUGGGUAUUGCAGAGGUUAUAGCGACAGCAUGCUGGUACCUCUGGUGGAUACGUCGAAGGACUACACAUAAUGAAAGUAUUCCGCCCCUGUCACAAUGGCCAAUGAAGAUUCUUGCUCUCUGCAAUGCGUUCAUUAAAGCCAACCAGAAAAUUGAUCUGAAGGAAACUGUACACUGGGAGAAGCCGGGGAAAGACGAUCUUAAACUGAAUGUUGAUGCAUCAUUUCAUACUGAUGUGGGUGCGGGAGCUAAUGCUGCGAUUAUCCGAGAUGACCAUGGCAGAUUUGUAGCAGCAUCAUGCACCUUUAUUCCUUAUGCAUCUGAAGCCUCUACUGUUGAAGCAAUGGCCAUGAAGCAUGGCCUCACUUUGGCAGCAAAGCUCAGUUUCAGUAGGAUUGUUGCAGAAUCAGAUUCUACAGAUGUUGUCAGUGCAUGUACUGGAAGUACUUGA